rnacentral:rRNA from 1 species
UCGGGAAUUUUGGGCAAUGGGCGAAAGCCUGACCCAGCAACGCCGCGUGAGGGAUGAAGUAUUUCGGUAUGUAAACCCCGAAAGAAUGGGGAGAAUAAAUGACGGUACCAUUUAUAAGCUCCGGCUAACUACGUGCCAGCAGCCGCGGUAAUACGUAGGGAGCAAGCGUUGUUCGGAUUUACUGGGCGUAAAGGGCGCGUAGGCGGCGCGGUAAGUCACUUGUGAAAUCUCUGAGCUUAACUCAGAACGGCCAAGUGAUACUGCUGUGCUAGAGUGCGGAAGAGGCAACCGGAAUUCUUGGUGUAGCGGUGAAAUGCGUAGAUAUCAAGAGGAACACCUGAGGCGAAGGCGGGUUGCUGGGCCGACACUGACGCUGAUGCGCGAAAGCCAGGGGAGCAAACG